UACAAAGGGGGCUAGCGUUGCUCGGAAUCACUGGGCGUAAAGGGUGCGUAGGCGGGUCUUUAAGUCAGGGGUGAAAUCCUGGAGCUCAACUCCAGAACUGCCUUUGAUACUGAAGAUCUUGAGUUCGGGAGAGGUGAGUGGAACUGCGAGUGUAGAGGUGAAAUUCGUAGAUAUUCGCAGGAACACCAGUGGCGAAGGCGGCUCACUGGUCCGAUACUGACGCUGAGGUGCGAAAGCGUGGGGAGCAAACAGGAUUAGAAACCCGAGUAGUCC
rnacentral:rRNA from 1 species